rnacentral:rRNA from 1 species
UACAGAGGUCUCAAGCGUUGUUCGGAUUCAUUGGGCGUAAAGGGUGUGUAGGUGGCGCGCUAAGUCGGGUGUGAAAUUUCGGAGCUUAACUCCGAAACUGCAUUCGAUACUGGCGUGCUUGAGGACUGGAGAGGAGACUGGAAUUCAUGGUGUAGCAGUGAAAUGCGUAGAGAUCAUGAGGAAGACCAGUGGCGAAGGCGGGUCUCUGGACAGUUCUUGACGCUGAGGCGCGAAAGCUAGGGGAGCAAACGGG